rnacentral:tRNA from 2 species
GUAAAUAUAGUUUAAACAAAACAUUAGAUUGUGAUUCUAAAAAUAGGGGUUGAACUCCCCUUAUUCACC